rnacentral:rRNA from 2 species
UUCUGGGUCGCAUGACUGCUUGCCGUUGCUCAGCAUCCGGUCUGAUCGUGAUUGGACUGUUUGUUGGGUCGGCGUAGUGGUUGUGCAGCCUUUCUGCCGUGUCUGUUUCGACAGGUGUUGACUGGCUGAUGGGUUCGUCCUGUUGGCUUGUUGACAUGCUUCCGGAUGCCUUUAAACGGGUGUCUGGGGCGGACGGCAUGUUUACUUUGAACAAAUUUGAGUGCUCAAAGCAGGCCUGUGUGCCUGAAAAGUCUUGCAUGGAAUAAUGGAAUAGGACUUCGGUUCUAUUUUGUUGGUUUUCGGAUCCGAAGUAAUGG